AGCGGGACAGAUGGGAGCUUGCUCCCUGAUGUUAGCGGCGGACGGGUGAGUAACACGUGGGUAACCUGCCUGUAAGACUGGGAUAACUCCGGGAAACCGGGGCUAAUACCGGAUGGUUGUUUGAACCGCAUGGUUCAGACAUAAAAGGUGGCUUCGGCUACCACUUACAGAUGGACCCGCGGCGCAUUAGCUAGUUGGUGAGGUAACGGCUCACCAAGGCGACGAUGCGUAGCCGACCUGAGAGGGUGAUCGGCCACACUGGGACUGAGACACGGCCCAGACUCCUACGGGAGGCAGCAGUAGGGAAUCUUCCGCAAUGGACGAAAGUCUGACGGAGCAACGCCGCGUGAGUGAUGAAGGUUUUCGGAUCGUAAAGCUCUGUUGUUAGGGAAGAACAAGUGCCGUUCAAAUAGGGCGGCACCUUGACGGUACCUAACCAGAAAGCCACGGCUAACUACGUGCCAGCAGCCGCGGUAAUACGUAGGUGGCAAGCGUUGUCCGGAAUUAUUGGGCGUAAAGGGCUCGCAGGCGGUUUCUUAAGUCUGAUGUGAAAGCCCCCGGCUCAACCGGGGAGGGUCAUUGGAAACUGGGGAACUUGAGUGCAGAAGAGGAGAGUGGAAUUCCACGUGUAGCGGUGAAAUGCGUAGAGAUGUGGAGGAACACCAGUGGCGAAGGCGACUCUCUGGUCUGUAACUGACGCUGAGGAGCGAAAGCGUGGGGAGCGAACAGGAUUAGAUACCCUGGUAGUCCACGCCGUAAACGAUGAGUGCUAAGUGUUAGGGGGUUUCCGCCCCUUAGUGCUGCAGCUAACGCAUUAAGCACUCCGCCUGGGGAGUACGGUCGCAAGACUGAAACUCAAAGGAAUUGACGGGGGCCCGCCACAAGCGGUGGAACAUGUGGUUUAAUUCGAAGCAACGCGAAGAACCUUACCAGGUCUUGACAUCCUCUGACAAUCCUAGAGAUAGGACGUCCCCUUCGGGGGCAAAAUGACAGGUGGUGCAUGGUUGUCGUCAGCUCGUGUCGUGAGAUGUUGGGUUAAGUCCCGCAACGAGCGCAACCCUUGAUCUUAGUUGCCAGCAUUCAGUUGGGCACUCUAAGGUGACUGCCGGUGACAAACCGGAGGAAGGUGGGGAUGACGUCAAAUCAUCAUGCCCCUUAUGACCUGGGCUACACACGUGCUACAAUGGACAGAACAAAGGGCAGCGAAACCGCGAGGUUAAGCCAAUCCCACAAAUCUGUUCUCAGUUCGGAUCGCAGUCUGCAACUCGACUGCGUGAAGCUGGAAUCGCUAGUAAUCGCGGAUCAGCAUGCCGCGGUGAAUACGUUCCCGGGCCUUGUACACACCGCCCGUCACACCACGAGAGUUUGUAACACCCGAAGUCGGUGAGGUAACCUUUAUGGAGCCAGCCGCCGAAG
rnacentral:rRNA from 1 species